rnacentral:rRNA from 1 species
AACGAACGCUGGCGGCAUGCCUAACACAUGCAAGUCGAACGAGACCUUCGGGUCUAGUGGCGGCACGGGUGCGUAACACGUGGGAAUUUGCCUCGGGGUAUGGAAUAACUCAGGGAAACUUGAGCUAAUACCAUAUAAUGUCUUCGGACCAAAGAUUUAUCGCCCUGAGAUAAGCCCGCGUAGGAUUAGCUAGUUGGUGGGGGUAAAGGCUCACCAAGGCGACGAUCCUUAGCUGGUCUGAGAGGAUGAUCAGCCACACUGGGACUGAGACACGGCCCACGACUCCUACGGGAGGCAGCAGUGGGGAAUAUUGGACAAUGGGCGAAGACCUGAUCCAGCAAUGCCGCGU